UACGGAGGGUUCAAGCGUUAUCCGGAUUCACUGGGUUUAAAGGGUGUGUAGGCGGGCAGUUAAGUCAGUGGUGAAAUCUCCGGGCUCAACCCGGAAACUGCCAUUGAUACUAUCUGUCUUGAAUAUUGUUGAGGUAGGCGGAAUAUAUCAUGUAGCGGUGAAAUGCAUAGAUAUGAUAUAGAACACCGAUUGCGAAGGCAGCUUACUAAACAAUUAUUGACGCUGAGGCACGAAAGCGUGGGGAGCAAACAGG
rnacentral:rRNA from 1 species